AUACGGAGGGUGCAAGCGUUACUCGGAAUCACUGGGCGUAAAGCGCGCGCAGGCGGCUAUUUAAGUUGGAUGUGGAAGCCUACGGCUCAACCGUAGAACUGCAUCCAAAACUAUUUAGCUAGAGUGUGGGAGAGGAAGAUGGAAUUAGUUGUGUAGGGGUAAAAUCCGUAGAGAUAACUAGGAAUACCAAAAGCGAAGGCAAUCUUCUGGAACACUACUGACGCUGAGGCGCGAAAGCGUGGGGAGCAAACAGGAUUAGAAACCCUAGUAGUCC
rnacentral:rRNA from 1 species